UAUUCGUGUUUGAUUUGAAGAGUUACCCAAUUGAUACGCAAUCGUUGACACUCUAUAAAGUCUUAAUUCCACCUCUUCGUUUCAUUUUCCUGAGAAAAUGUUGGACUUGAUGGAAAAUCCCAUGUUGGUGUGGAACCAAAGCAAAGAGGAAAAGGAGCAGGGGAACUAAAUUUUAUAAUAAUGGAAGCAGCCUCGUGCAGUCUCGAGCUUUGUGAGGAUCUAAAAGCAAGAGAGAAGGAACUUAAAGCAAAAGAGGCAAACGUGAAGGGGUAAUUUGUUGUUGGCUGUUUACACUCGAG